UACGUAGGUGGCAAGCGUUGUCCGGAUUUAUUGGGUUUAAAGGGUGCGUAGGCGGUUUUGUAAGUCAGUGGUGAAAUACUCCAGCUUAACUGGAGGGGUGCCAAUGAUACUGCAGAACUUGAGUACAGAUGAGGUAGGCGGAAUUGACGGUGUAGCGGUGAAAUGCAUAGAUAUCGUCAAGAACACCGAUAGCGAAGGCAGCUUACUGGGCUGUAACUGACGCUGAGGCACGAAAAGUGUGGGGGAUCAAACAGG
rnacentral:rRNA from 1 species